rnacentral:lncRNA from 1 species
UACUUCUAUCCUUUGACUUCUAACCCCUAUUCAUCCUACUUCUUGUACAUAUCGACUUGUGACAGAGAAAGUUCACUUCCAAAAUAUUCUGCCUUUAAUCUCACAAUGGCAAAACAUAAACAUACAUCUAGCAUAAAGUCAUUGGAAACAUAAUUAAGAGACCAAAUCUUCAUAUAUGAUAUUAAUGGUAUACAAUGCAUGCCUCAUAUGCACCUAAACAUAAUUGCAAAGUAUUUGAACAAAACAAAACAAUAUUCAUAAUCAUGUUAUCAGCUGUUGUAAUGUUUCUUUCUCUAAUAUAUGAUCAUUAUGUAAUCCAAUGAUAAUGAUAACAAUGAAACAGAAUGACAAUUGUGAUGAUGCGGAUGAUGAUAAUAGUAAGUUUGCGCAAUUUCAACGGGGACUCCAGAACAUAGUAAAUGCGUUGAAAAUGCCCAUCAAGUCGAAAUGAACAGUUGAGAGGUCUUUGUCGAAAAUUUAUGAACAGGGACAGCAGAUCAUCUUAGGAUGUGGAGCUGACGACAAAAUUGCAAAUACGUUUUUUUCAUGGUCACAGAUGAAACUGCCCUUCGAUUCACUAAUUUUUGACAAAGUCUGCUUUGUUAUGAAGGGCUUUUAACAAUGGAUACUCUAUGUUCCAGAAAGCGUCUGCUUAGAGGUUGCAAAAACUUACUAAUAAAUGUACUCACUAACAGAACUGAAUCUUUGAAUGCCUAUUCGCAUAUUGCUGAUAUUUUGUUCUUUGUUGGUAACAAUUAGUCUUGUGACAGUCCUCUUCCUCAAGAAGUCUAGCUUUAAUAUCUGUCAUUUCUAUAUAUUCCUAUCAAAUCACUAUUUUUUCUGUGUACCUACUGGAUCACGCAGUUCUCCAGGUGGGUACAUGUAAGCAUCAGAAGUAUAAGAUAAACCCUGGUCAUAAGAGUUUUUUCAUUAUGUACCUCCUCCUCUGACAUGGGUAAUACUGUCACAAAAACUCUACAUUUUGUAAAGAUGCUACAAGAAUCACAAUUCAAGACCGACCUUCCAAAUGAGCUGAAUUCUCCAAAGUAUUGGGAUUGUCAUUUAAGGAAGAAAUAUUCAAAAGCAUAGAAACAAAAAAUCAUAAUUCCACACACACAAAGAUCUUUGAUAUGUGAAAGACAUAUGAUUUUAUAACAUACAUGUACAUUACAUACAAGAUAUAGUAUCAUUUAAAGAGUUCUUCAAAACUGAUGAAUUUAGUGUAAAAUUGAUUGAUAAUCACAGGAAUAUGAGAAAAAAACAAAUCAGCACACAUUCACAAAAGAAGUUCGAAGUAUGGGACAUUAAAUCCCCAUUCUAAUUUUUUUUUCUUCUUCAAAGCAUACCAUCACAAAAUAAGUUCAAUCUCGCUUUGCCUGUAUUACCAAUAGGUGCCAUUUCUUGAUUCAGUAUGCUAAAAAAAUUAUAUGGUGAAACCUGGCACUUCUUUUGUGAAAUCGGGUACGCAAUCAUACAAAAGGACAAUCUAAAACGUAAUCUAGCACAAUAACAGAAAAUCACACACAUGCAUAUGUCAAAUAAAAGGGUAUAAGGACCCUGGCUAAGCUAUUUGGAAAACAAACACAAAAAUACCACUAAAAAUGUAAGUUGUAUGGUAAAUAUAUUUCCCUCAUGAUAACUGCAUCAAGGAGAGGCCAUGAAAUAUCAAGGGAGAAAUAAAAGUUUGGUAAAGUAAAAAGAUAAUGAUUUUGUACGUUUUUCUUCGUUCUGGACUUAAAAAGAGGCAUAUUUACUUAUUCUAAUCUAUGUUUACUUCACAUAAACUAGUCACAUGGAAAAUACAACAUGUGGUGCUAUCAAUAGUCUUUUAUUCUAUCAAUAAAAUUACUGUAGUAAAUGUUAUACAACUCCCAAGAAUGUUCUGUUUUCUGAUUGGUCCAAAUCGGAUCACAUGAUAUUCAGCGAAUUGCACUAUUGCAUCGAAAAUGCACUAUCCUGCACUCUGAGAUUCCGGGCAACUCAGUAACAUGGGGGGGUGUAUAAAACAGACAAUGCACCUAUUCUUUUGCACAGAAGACCUAAAUAAUGAACUCUGCUCGACUCGCGAAACAGAUAUACCGCACUCAGUCCUGCGGGCCUUGGUGUGGUAUAUCCAUUGGCUCUUUUCACAAAUUGUUCAUCAUUUGGCCCUGCAUGCACGUGCUUACAUAAUAAACUGCAGAUAUAGUUUAUAAUAAAUAUAAUCAAGACACUUUUUCAUUUCUUUCAUUUCAUUUCAACCAUGGCACUUCAAAUCAUGAAUAGCAUCACUAUUUCUACAAUCAAUAAGCUUGAUGGAAUGUAACAAACUACUAAGAAUAACAAUACUGUCAACUACAAAACAAUACUUUGUAAGGUGUACAUGAACUACAACUAUUGCAACAUUAUGACAGGCACAUGGCUUGAAAAAUUGA